GGUAUCCUGACCGUUCUAAGGUAGCAUAAUCAUUUGCCUCUUAAUUAGAGGCUAGUAUGAAUGGACACACUAAACUUAACCUUUAUUUGCCUUAGUAAUAUAAAUUAGCUUUUAGGUGAAGAUACCUAAAUUUAGUAGAAAGACAAGAAGACCCUAUUGAGUUUUACCUUAAAAUAAAAUAAAAGGUUUUGUUGGGGCGACCAGGGAAUUCAUCCGACUUCCCUUAAAUAAAAGGAAACCAUGAAAUUGAUCCUUAAAGAAUUCAGAAUAAACUACCAUAGGGAUAACAGGCUAAUUUUUUCAGCGAGUUCAUAUUAAUGAAAAAGUUUGGCACCUCGAUGUUGGCUUGAAGAAUCUUUUAGGUGCAGCCGCCUAAAGAAGAUAGUUUGUUCAACUAUUAAAUCUUCACGUGAUCUGAGUCAGACCGGGUCAUAGCUGUUUCC
rnacentral:rRNA from 1 species